UCGUGUAAACUUCCGUCUGGAACAUUUCCUGACCUGCGCAGUGGUGGAAUGAUUGAAAAUGGCUUCCAGGAGCUGCAACGAAGGGUGUGUCUCUACUGAAGAGGGGCUGGCAUGAAAUUCCAGAGAUUAUGUGUUGUUUAGGAAUGAUUGGACUUGGAACUUGUUUUGUGGGAAUUGGCUACGCUGUUUAUGACAGAGACAUACAUCAUCGAUACAGAAUGGAGUACACAGUUGUUCGCGACACAGAUGUCAAAAAGAAUCUUUUAGCUAAAAAUGUGUACAAUUAGAAAAAGAAACAGUCUUUAAUCUUGUGACUUUGUGCUCCCAUAAUAUAACCAUUACAAGAUGAAAAGAAAGCUUAACAGAAAAGAAACAGAGGUGUAAAGAAAGAAAAGUGUCUUGAAAUGUGUUUUGAUUGGAAUAAAAUGGUUUGACAAGAUU